AGAACGAACGCUGGCGGCAUGCCUAACACAUGCAAGUCGAACGCUCUUGGGGCUUCGGUCUCAGGGGAGUGGCGCACGGGUGAGUAGCGCGUGGGAACCUGCCCUGUUGUGGGGGAUAACCGAGGGAAACUUCGGCUAAUACCGCAUAAGCCGGCUGUCUUGCGAAAGAUGGCCGGGAAAGAUUUAUCGCGACAGGAGGGGCCCGCGUCGGAUUAGGUAGUUGGCGGGGUAACGGCCCACCAAGCCGGUGAUCCGUAGCUGGUCUGAGAGGAUGAUCAGCCACACUGGGACUGAGACACGGCCCAGACUCCUACGGAGGCAGCAGUGGGGAAUAUUGGACAAUGGGCGCAAGCCUGAUCCAGCAAUGCCGCGUGAGUGAUGAAGGCCUUAGGGUUGUAAAGCUCUUUCGCCCGCGACGAUGAUGACGGUAGCGGAGAAGAAGCCCGGCUAACUUCGUGCCAGCAGCCGC
rnacentral:rRNA from 1 species